rnacentral:rRNA from 1 species
GACGAACGCUGGCGGCGUGCUUAACACAUGCAAGUCGAACGGUAAGGCCCUAGCUUUCUGGGGUACACGAGUGGCGAACGGGUGAGUAACACGUGGGUGACCUGCCCUGCACUUUGGGAUAAGUUUGGGAAACUGGGGCUAAUACCGGAUAGGACCGCACCGUGCGGGGGUGGGGUAGGGAAUUUUCGGUGGUUGGGGGUGGACCCGCGGGUUAUCAGGUUGGUGGGGGGGUAGCGGACUACCAAGGCUGCGGCGGGUCGGCGGCCUGGGGGGGUGGACGGCCACAUUGGGACCGAGGCACGGCCCAGGCUUCUACGGGGGGCAACAGUGGGGAAUAUUGCACAAAGGGCGGAAGGCUGAUGCAGCGACGCCGCGUGGGGGAUGACGGCCUUCGGGUUGGAAACCCCUUUCACCAUGGACGGAGGGUUUAUGACGGUAAAUGGAUAAGAAACACCGGCUAACUACGUG